CGACCUCAGAUCAGGCGGGACUACCCGCCGGAUUUAAGCAUAUUAAUAAGCGGAGGAAAAGAAAACAACCGUGAUUCCCUUAGUAGCGGCGAGCGAACCGGGAAAAGCCCAUCGCUGAAUCUCGCCGCGCACUUUUGUGUCGCGGCACGUAUGAGAGUUGUGGCGUACGGGCCGGCCUCGUUGCCGGGGCGCACGUGACGGUCCAAGUCUCCCUUGAACGGGGCCAUGGCCCGCAGAUGGUGCCAGGCCAGUAGAGGCCGUCACAGCGUUCCGGGAUCGGACCGCGCCUUCGAGUCGGGUUGCUUGAGAGUGCAGCCCGAAGCGGGUGGUAAACUCCAUCUAAGGCUAAAUACGGCCACGAGACCGAUAGUUUACAAGUACCGUGAGGGAAAGUUGAAAAGAACUUUGAAGAGAGAGUUCAUAAGAACGUGAAACCGCUCGGUUGUAAACGGACAGAGCUCGCGAAUCCCCGCCGGGCGAAUUCACGGUCGGUCUAACCGCCGGCCGGAUCUUUCGCUCGGUUAGCGGACGUCGCGACCCGUUGGGCGCCGGCCGAAUGGCCCGGGUGACGUUCGUCGCGUCGGUCGCGUUUCGGCGUGACCGUUCGCGCCGAGCCCCGGUGCUCAUGGUCGGCUCGCCCGACGGCAAGAACCGUCGACGCGGCCCCGUCGCAGGCGGGGUCCCGUCGGUCGGCGACGUGUUUCGAGCUACUUUCCGACCCGUCUUGAAACACGGACCAAGGAGUCUAACGUGUGCGCGAGUCAACGGUGAUCUUACGAAAAACCACGUUUGGCGCAAUGAAAGUGAACCGUUUACGGUGCGGACGAUGGCCUAGCGACCGAACCCACCGGCGUUCAAAGUCGCGCUGGUCCGCAGUCCGGGGGCGUCUCCGCCAAGUCGGCUUCGGCCGGCUGGGGGCGCACCCUUAGCGCACAC
rnacentral:ncRNA from 1 species